rnacentral:lncRNA from 1 species
AAAAGAAAUGGUAGUAUUGGUUGAUCGAGCUUGUAAGGCUGAAGAAUUACUUAAAGAAAAGAAAAAGGUAGAGGCUGAGACUAGAAAUUGGAAGAAAAGACCGAUGAGUGGUUCAUUUUCACAGCAACCUAGAAAGUCAAGGAAUAUGAAUCCUCGUUCCCAAGCUUCAGCUGGGCAAUCAUAUGGGAAUUAUAAGAAGCAAAAUGUGGGUCCUAAAUCCCAGACUACUUCGGC